GUGCAUAAGAUUUGGCACUGGAUCAUAAGGACAAAUGAAGAUGCUCUUGGUUUCCCAGUCGUAGUGUAUUUGGGGGAGGGCGUGGGCUGCCAAGAAGAGGGGAUGGGGUAGAAAGCCAGAUUCGGGGAACUGGCUGGGCAGGGAGACAGAGGGAGCGUGGCUGAGCCAGGGUCACUUCCCAGCAGGGCAGCAAGGUCCCUGGGGAGUGACAGGACUCUCAGAUCUGUUGGGAGCAAAGUUCUUGUAGAGUCCCAUCUGGGCUCUGGGGACCCUCAGAUCACUCUGCCAUUUUGUCUCGACUUCAGCCCAGCACCUGCGCCAAUCCAGCUUCGGCCACCAUCUCCAUCCCUGUGGAGGGGGAACUUGGUCCCCCUCACCCUGCAGGCUGGCGCCAAGGUUUAUGAGCCAGCCUCUGAGAGCCACAUGGGUGGAAAAAGUUACCCGGUUCUAAAUCAGCCAGCCUUUGGGUGAUCUCAUCCCCUUCCCAAUAUAGUCGCAGUCCCCUCCCCCACUGGCUGGACCCUGGCCAAUGGGGUAAGUCACG
rnacentral:lncRNA from 1 species